UUAACUCAAAUUUGUAUGCAAUUGGAACAGCGCCCCUAGCGGCAAACGUAAGCAAACGUUCCAACUCCAUACAAAUUUGAGUUA
rnacentral:pre_miRNA from 1 species